rnacentral:misc_RNA from 1 species
GAUGUUGGAGUCCAUGAUCAAGUCUCCAAGGCCUACUCGAGCUGAAGCUACUGAUGUUGCCAAUGCAGUUCUUGAUGGUUCUGACUGUGUGAUGCUGAGUGGUGAAACAGCAGCUGGAGCAUAUCCAGAGCUGGCAGUUCGGACAAUGGCAAAAAUAUGUGUAGAAGCAGAAAGCACCCUUGAUUAUGGAGAUGUCUUCAAACGAGUCAUGGAACAUUCACCUGUGCCCAUGAGCCCAUUGGAGAGUCUGGCAUCUUCUGCUGUUAGAACAGCCAAUUCAGCAAAAGCAUCUCUCAUAUUGGUCUUAACAAGGGGAGGAAGUACCGCAAAACUGGUGGCUAAAUACCGACCUGGCUUGCCAAUUUUAUCUGUGGUUGUACCUGAGAUUGAGACUGAUUCCUUUGAUUGGUCCUGCAGUGAUGAAGCUCCUGCAAGGCAUAGCCUAAUUUUUCGUGGGUUGGUGCCAGUUUUAUAUGCAGGGUCUGCUAGGGCUUCUCAUGCAGAGACAACAGAAGAAUCUUUGAAUUUUGCCAUUCAACAUGCCAAGACGAAAGGACUAUGCAAGAAUGGAGAUUCUGUUGUGGCCUUGCACCGAGUUGGAACUGCAGAGAUAACUUUUGUUUCAGCUUCCUCCUUAAUCAAGGAUGUGAAAAGCGAUUGGGCAACCCUUGGUACGAUGACAUAUGUAAUAGUUUUUUUUUUUCCAUGUGUAUUAGGUUUGCAAAACACUGCUGGAUUUAGCCAUAGUGGAUUUUGUUAGUAUGAUUUGGGAUAAUUGAUACCACGCAUGUAGUUAUUGGAACAUUGGAGACAGAACCCAAUUCAAGGGUUGUCUUUCUUUGUAUGGGACUUCACCUUAACUUAUAUGGGCAUUAUCGCUUCUAUGGGAUUGAUGGUUAAAAUUAAGUAUGGCAAGGAAGAGAAACAAAUAAUUAAUUUGUUUUGAGGAUCUGAGAGGCUUACUUUAUUGCUUCGACUCUUUCAAAAAUUUCUUCUAAAUCCUUCACUAUCUCAACCUAACAUAUUUAUUUGUCUCAUAGUUUGCAAUUUGCCUCAAGAGGAAGGACCUCA